GACGAACGCUGGCGGCGUGCUUAACACAUGCAAGUCGAACGGUAAGGCCCUUUCGGGGGUACACGAGUGGCGAACGGGUGAGUAACACGUGGGUGAUCUGCCCUGCACUUUGGGAUAAGCCUGGGAAACUGGGUCUAAUACCGGAUAGGACUACGCGAUGCAUGUCGUGUGGUGGAAAGCUUUUGCGGUGUGGGAUGGGCCCGCGGCCUAUCAGCUUGUUGGUGGGGUGAUGGCCUACCAAGGCGACGACGGGUAGCCGGCCUGAGAGGGUGGCCGGCCACACUGGGACUGAGAUACGGACCAGACUCCUACGGGAGGCAGAAGUGGGGAAUAUUGCACAAUGGGCGCAAGCCUGAUGCAGCGACGCCGCGUGGGGGAUGACGGCCUUCGGGUUGUAAACCCCUUUCAGCACAGACGAAGCGUAAGUGACGGUAUGUGCAGAAGAAGCACCGGCCAACUACGUG
rnacentral:rRNA from 1 species